AGGCGCCCCGCGCGCACGCCGGUUCUUGCGCGCCGUCCUCGCCCACCUGACGACUGCUCGCGACGUGUUGCUGGCC
rnacentral:sRNA from 1 species